rnacentral:rRNA from 1 species
UGGGGAAUAUUGCACAAUGGGCGCAAGCCUGAUGCAGCCAUGCCGCGUGUGUGAAGAAGGCCUUCGGGUUGUAAAGCACUUUCAGCGAGGAGGAAGGGUAGUGUGUUAAUAGCACAUUGCAUUGACGUUACUCGCAGAAGAAGCACCGGCUAACUCCGUGCCAGCAGCCGCGGUAAUACGGAGGGUGCAAGCGUUAAUCGGAAUUACUGGGCGUAAAGCGCACGCAGGCGGUUUGUUAAGUCAGAUGUGAAAUCCCCGCGCUUAACGUGGGAACUGCAUUUGAAACUGGCAAGCUAGAGUCUUGUAGAGGGGGGUAGAAUUCCAGGUGUAGCGGUGAAAUGCGUAGAGAUCUGGAGGAAUACCGGUGGCGAAGGCGGCCCCCUGAACAAAGACUGACGCUCAGGUGCGAAAGCGUGGGGAGCAAACA